rnacentral:sRNA from 1 species
ACUUAGUUGGGGAAUAAUCAAGUGUUGUGUUUUAUGCCGAUGAUGUACCGAUGGCGACUCGAAGACUGAAGGAGUUUACAAUUCUCAUGGAAUUAAAUAACUCAAAUAACAGUUUUUCUGCUGUCCUUACAGAGGGGUCCUCAUACUAAGAAGAAGAAAAAUAUUACUUUAUAUUGAUUUCGAUAUAGCAAUUGAAAUCAAAAAUCUUAAGCCGUUGUUCGUGGAUGAAAUCGAUUUUUGAACAAUGAAGAAAAGUUCAGAGAAAAGUGAAAUAAGUCUGGAUCUUUCCAAGCUGAGUGACAGAAGUGAUGAUAUUCUAAAGUAUCCACGAAAUCGCUGGCCUCGAGACUACUCACUUUCAUCGUCUGCGACUCGGCGGUCAUCGUCUGCUCACAGUGCAAGCAGACGAGACCAACGUUUGACGUCGAUUACCGAGGACGAGAAAAUAACCAGCACGUUUCCCAAUGUCCAGUCCCUCCCCGGUGGUCCGGCUGGGUUUUGUUUCACCACAAUCCGCGCCCCAACCAGAUUGACCAAAAGUGCCAUGUCAAGCCAGACUUCAGUUCGAAGCUGUCAGCAAAACACUAAGCAAAUAAUUCACAGUCUGUAUGAAAUCUGGAUACCGCAACUGAGCUUGAAUUACAGACCAUUUGUCCACUAUGUGCCCCCUCGGAGUAGAUCGACUUCCGUCAGCUCCGAACGGUCGUCUGUUUCCCGGAAAUCACUGAUCAAGGCAGGGGAAUCUGUCAUCGAUUUGACUAAUCUUAAUACGAAUAGAAGAAAAAGCAGUGUGAUAGGGAUAAAAUGAUACAUUAGUUUACAAUUUUAGAAAAAAGAACUACGGUGAAAGGGUUAACAUAUUAUUAUAUUCCGAUAUCUAUUGUUAUUGAAAAUAUGUGUGUGUCGUAUGGAUUGGAUAUGUCAGCAAGUGCUACAUUGGUAUGUGUUUUAUAUCUUGAAUAAAAUUAUAAAUCAUUCGUAUG